rnacentral:rRNA from 1 species
AUUGAACGCUGGCGGCACGCCUUACACAUGCAAGUCGAACGGUAACAGGUCUUCGGAUGCUGACGAGUGGCGAACGGGUGAGUAAUACAUCGGAACGUGCCUAGUAGUGGGGGAUAACUACUCGAAAGAGUGGCUAAUACCGCAUGAGAUCUACGGAUGAAAGCAGGGGAUCGCAAGACCUUGUGCUACUAGAGCGGCCGAUGGCGGAUUAGGUAGUUGGUGGGAUAAAAGCUUACCAAGCCGACGAUCUGUAGCUGGUCUGAGAGGACGAUGAGCCAGACUGGGGCUGAGAAACGGCCCAGACUCCUACGGGAGGCAGCAGUGGGGAAUUUUGGACAAGGGGCGGAAGCCUGAUCCAGAAAGGCAGCGUGCAGGAUGAAGGCCUUCGGGUUGAAAACUGCUUUUGUACGGAACGAAAAGCCCCGGGUUAAUACCCUGGGGUCAUGACGGUACCGUAAGAAUAAGCACCGGCUAACUACGUGCCAGCCGCCGCGGUAA